CGAGAUAUUUAACGACUAACGGGUUAAUAUCCUAAAUAUCUAACCUACCCUACCCCUAACCACCCCCAAACCUCCCAAAACCCCUUUCCCCUCACUAACUCACGCUAUAUCAGCCCACACCACACACACAACUCACAUAUUCACACACACAACACCUAAAACACACACUACACACGCCAUUUUCCAUUUAAGCUUGGACGGAGCUUUUGACCUCCGAUUUGAGCACCGAGACGAGCGCCGAUCAUCUUUUCGAUCACGUAUCUAAGUAGGUUGAGCUGAUGUGAUGAUGGUGCUGCAAUGAGCGGAGUCUCCAGGGUUGUUAAUAAAUAGUUAACCUGUCUAGAAUAUGUCUUCAUACAUAUGUCUAGCUACUUUCCGCUGCAAGAUGUUGUUGAUGUUAUAGUAUGUUAUGUCAUACUUUGAGUCUUAAGAGAAUGGUUGCAUAUGAUGUAUAACUUGAUUAAUGAUAUUAAUUAACUUUUAUGCAGUCUUUCAUAGACUGUUUUCAAUUGAGUAUUAAUGAAUAAAAAUGACGAGUUUAAUUAA